rnacentral:rRNA from 1 species
GACGAACGCUGGCGGCGUGCCUAACACAUGCAAGUCGAACGCUCCUUUUUCCACCGGAGCUUGCUCCACCGGAAAAAGAGGAGUGGCGAACGGGUGAGUAACACGUGGGUAACCUGCCCAUCAGAAGGGGAUAACACUUGGAAACAGGUGCUAAUACCGUAUAACAAUCGAAACCGCAUGGUUUUGAUUUGAAAGGCGCUUUCGGGUGUCGCUGAUGGAUGGACCCGUGUUGCAUUAGCUAGUUGGUGAGGUAACGGCUCACCAAGGCGACGAUGCAUAGCCGACCUGAGAGGGUGAUCGGCCACAUUGGGGCGGAGACACGGCCCAAACUCCUACGGGAGGCAGCAGUAGGGAAUCUUCGGCAAUGGACGAAAGUCUGACCGAGCAACGCCGCGUGAGUGAAGAAGGUUUUCGGAUCGUAAAACUCUGUUGUUAGAGAAGAACAGGGAUGAGAGUAACUGUUCAUCCCUUGACGGUAUCUAACCAGAAAGCCACGGCUAACUACGUGCCAGCCGCCGCAGUAA